CGUACACUCCUACGGGAGGCAGCAGUGGGGAAUAUUAGACAAUGGGCGCAAGCCUGAUCCAGCCAUGCCGCGUGAGUGAUGAAGGCCCUAGGGUUGUAAAGCUCUUUCACCGGUGAAGAUAAUGACGGUAACCGGAGAAGAAGCCCCGGCUAACUUCGUGCCAGCAGCCGCGGUAAUACGAAGGGGGCUAGCGUUGUUCGGAUUUACUGGGCGUAAAGCGCACGUAGGCGGACUAUUAAGUCAGGGGUGAAAUCCCGGGGCUCAACCCCGGAACUGCCUUUGAUACUGGUAGUCUUGAGUUCGAGAGAGGUGAGUGGAAUUCCGAGUGUAGAGGUGAAAUUCGUAGAUAUUCGGAGGAACACCAGUGGCGAAGGCGGCUCACUGGCUCGAUACUGACGCUGAGGUGCGAAAGCGUGGGGAGCAAACAGGAUUAGAAACCCCAGUAGUCCC
rnacentral:rRNA from 1 species